rnacentral:rRNA from 1 species
AUUGAACGCUGGCGGCAGGCCUAACACAUGCAAGUCGAGCGAGCGGCGGACGGGUGAGUAAUGUAUGGGGACUGCCCGAUAGAGGGGGAAAACAACUGGAAACGGUAGCUAAUACCGCAUACUAUCGGAUAAUCCAUAUGGGAUUAGCUAGUAGGUGAGGUAAUGGAUCACCUAGGCAACGAUCCCAAGCUGUUCUGAGAGAAUGAUCAGCAACACUGGGACUGAAACAGGUCCCGUAGACCUACGGGGGCAGCAGUGGGGAAUAUUGCUCAAGAGGAGCAAGCCUGAUGCAGCCAUGACGCGAGGAUGAAAGAGGCACUAGGGUAGUAAAGUACUUUCAGUCGGGAGGCGUUACCGACAGCAGAAGCACCGGCUAACUCCGUGCCAGCAGCCGCGGUAAUAC